UACGUAGGGUGCAAGCGUUAAUCGGAAUUACUGGGCGUAAAGCGUGCGCAGGCGGUGAUGUAAGACAGUUGUGAAAUCCCCGGGCUCAACCUGGGAACUGCAUUUGGGACUGCAAGGCUGGAGUACGGCAGAGGGAGGUGGAAUUCCACGUGUAGCAGUGAAAUGCGUAGAGAUGUGGAGGAACACCGAUGGCGAAGGCAGCCCCCUGGGUCGACACUGACGCUCAUGCACGAAAGCGUGGGGAGCAAACAGG
rnacentral:rRNA from 1 species